rnacentral:sRNA from 1 species
GUAGUGUGUGGCCACAUUUGGGGGGGGGGGAGGGAUGGUCGAGGUUUUUUACAUAGGAAUAAGUGAAAUAAAUUUUAAAAAUUCUCCUCAGAAACCAAUUAGCCAGAAAAGCUGAAACUUUUGUGUGGAAGCAUCCUCAGACAGUGUAGAUUCAAAGUUUUGAAAAUCAUGACUCCCAGAGGUAGGGUUGGGCCACAAUAUGGGAGAAGGCAUUUUUUACAUAGGAAAAAAAUUAAAUUAUUCUUGCAAACUUAAAUGUUGUAAUUAACGGUUUUACUAAAAUGCGAGCAUCUUGACAUCAUUAAUUCUCGAUUGCUUAGAACUUCGACAGUUUUUGGCCCCACAAGGAGCUUAAUGUUGCUCAAGAUCAGCAAGAUGUUGCUGAGAACUGAAAUAUUCAUUGUGUGAUAUGAUUUUGAAACAAUCCUGGUCAAAAGUAGCUCAAAGUUCAACACAAUAAAAUCUGAAGAAAAAAUUGAAAACCGUUUUACAUGUACAUGUAUAUUUUUAUUCUACAAAGUUGACCAGACAUUUUUAUAUGACUCCAUAAAUCUGAUUUCCUUAGGGCUAUUGUUGCUCUUGUGAGAGAUGUGGCUCAUGGGCCUCUUGUUUAAUAAAAGAAUUUAGCCAUAGUAAUUUUAAAAGUGGAUGUGUAUAUGAAAAUAUUUUGAUUUGAUUAUGUAUAUUUAAAUAACAAAGGACUAUAAUCUGAAAUAUACAUGUAUAUAUAAAUUGUUUUAAUAAAUUCGGAUUUUUAAAAA